GACGAACGCUGGCGGCGUGCCUAAUACAUGCAAGUUGAGCGCUGAAGGUUGGUACUUGUACCAACUGGAUGAGCAGCGAACGGGUGAGUAACGCGUGGGGAAUCUGCCUUUGAGCGGGGGACAACAUUUGGAAACGAAUGCUAAUACCGCAUAAAAACUUUAAACACAAGUUUUAAGUUUGAAAGAUGCAAUUGCAUCACUCAAAGAUGAUCCCGCGUUGUAUUAGCUAGUUGGUGAGGUAAAGGCUCACCAAGGCGAUGAUACAUAGCCGACCUGAGAGGGUGAUCGGCCACAGUGGGACUGAGACACGGCCCAAACUCCUACGGGAGGCAGCAGUAGGGAAUCUUCGGCAAUGGACGAAAGUCUGACCGAGCAACGCCGCGUGAGUGAAGAAGGUUUUCGGAUCGUAAAACUCUGUUGGCAGAGAAGAACGUUGGUGAGAGUGGAAAGCUCAUCAAGUGACGGUAACUACACAGAAAGGGACGGCUAACUACGUG
rnacentral:rRNA from 1 species